UACGGGGGGUGCGAGCGUUGUCCGGAAUCACUGGGCGUAAAGGGCGCGUAGGUGGCUUUGUAAGUUUGCGGUGAAAGCCCGGGGCUCAACCCCGGGUCUGCGGUGGGUACGGGCAGACUAGAGUGCAGUAGGGGAGACUGGAAUUCCUGGUGUAGCGGUGAAAUGCGCAGAUAUCAGGAGGAACACCGAUGGCGAAGGCAGGUCUCUGGGCUGUAACUGACGCUGAGGAGCGAAAGCAUGGGGAGCGAACAGG
rnacentral:rRNA from 1 species